UACGUAGGGUGCAAGCGUUGUCCGGAAUUAUUGGGCGUAAAGAGCUCGUAGGCGGUCUGUCGCGUCGGCUGUGAAAACUCGGGGCUCAACCCCGAGCCUGCAGUCGAUACGGGCGGGCUAGAGUUCGGUAGGGGAGACUGGAAUUCCUGGUGUAGCGGUGAAAUGCGCAGAUAUCAGGAGGAACACCGGUGGCGAAGGCGGGUCUCUGGGCCGAUACUGACGCUGAGGAGCGAAAGCGUGGGGAGCGAACAGG
rnacentral:rRNA from 1 species